GACGAACGCUGGCGGCGUGCUUAACACAUGCAAGUCGAACGGAAAGGCCCUGCUUUUGUGGGGUGCUCGAGUGGCGAACGGGUGAGUAACACGUGAGUAACCUGCCCUUGACUUUGGGAUAACUUCAGAAAACUGGGGCUAAUACAGGAUAGGAGAUCCUGCUGCAUGGUGGGGGUUGGAAAGUUUCGGCGGUUGGGGAUGGAUUCGCGGCUUAUCAGCUUGUUGGUGGGGUAGUGGCUUACCAAGUCUUUGACGGGUAGCCGGCCUGGGAGGGUGGACGGCGACAAUGGUACUGCGAGACGGCCCAGACGCGUACGGGAGGCAGCAGGGGGGAAUAUUGCACAAUGGGCGGACGCGUGAUGAAGCAACGCCGCGAGCGGGAUGACGGCCUUCGGGUGGUAAACCGCUUUAGCCUGUGACGAAGCGGGAGUGACGGUAAUGGGUAAAGAAGCACCGGCUAACUACGUG
rnacentral:rRNA from 1 species